rnacentral:lncRNA from 1 species
GUAUUCUGCACGGACUGCUGGGCAGCACUAGCACUCUGGAGAAGGUCUGCCGCUGUCUGCACUUUCCUGGUUCUAUGCAGGCAGAUGAGUGUCACAGCUGUAACUGAGGCACAGAGCAGUACACACAGUGGAGCCGAUUUCCGCGAUGGCGAGAGGGGGCACCGGAGGUGACAACAAUAACAAGACUGUCCUUCGGACAAGUUUUAGGAAGAAUGACUUGGGCAAUACCAAAUGUUGAGUUAUCAAGUAUUUCGAUACCCAUAUGCAUCAUCUGCUAUUCUCAGGAUGAUGGAGUGAGUGAUGGAAUAGGUUGCCAACUGUAGUUACUCCACUCAGCACAGAAUGGCUGCGGGGAAAUAUAAUCAGACAUGCCCAAAGAAGUCUGCUUAGGGUGAAACAAAUACCUUUGAGGUUUAAAUCAGGAAGGAGAGACUGUUUCUACAGGUGUCAUACAAAAAUCAAUACUGAGCCAAGGAUUAUUGGAUCCCAUAGAACCACGGAGACUUGGUAGUGAAAUUCUUCCAAAGCAUUCCAUCCGUGCAGGCAGAUGGUGUUCCUAGGUUUGGAAAUAUAAAUCCCAUGGGAAGUCAGCUGAAGACCAUUUUAUGCAUCACUCAUCCUGUUAGAGCCCUGUGCUGUUCUGUCUCUCUAUAAGACUGGCUGAAACCACCACGGUUGUUUACAAUUUAUGCUCUAACUUUGGAUCACCUAGUUAAUACUCUAACUCCGAUUAUUACCAAAGACAAUGUUCUAUAAAAGAUAUUGUCUAUUAGAAGGAUGCUUCUGCAUUAUUAAUAAAAUCACAGGGAAAAUGCAACAUUUUGGAUGUCACAUCUGAUAAGUUGGCAGUUAAAGAACAGAAACAGCAAUAAGACUGCGUGGCUACAUUUUCCCAGUGCCACCAACUGGGAUUUAAGCUGACUAACAUUUUGAAAGCCCAGCCCAUUUCAUUCACAGCAGGAUGGCAGAACAAGAAAUUGAGAAUGGGUUUCACAGUGUUCUGUUAAUUUGAUUACUGUGUCCUAAGUGUGGGUGACUGAUCGUACCCGCCAGCUGGCUAAUGUCAUAAUUAACAAAGUUGCUACUACAUCUGCAAAGUUUAAUCGAAAAAUUUGCCAGUGAUAUGAUGGCCUUGUCACAGAGAUCACAAGGGACACGGAGUUGACUUUUGCUCAAGGUGGAACGACAGAGCUGUGUAGGCAAGAUGAGAAAUUGCGAACUUGUUCGGCCAAAG